UUCUUUGAGUCAAAUGAUUUUAUAUGUUAACUACUCUACUUUAAUGAUCACAAUUUAUCAUAUACUUUUUCAGCAUCUCAGUAAAAGAAAUUCUUUCAAAAUUCAGGAGAGUAUCUUCUGAGCCUGCUUUACAAAGUGAUUUAUUUCUGUCAAUAUUCUAGUGAGAGGAGGACUUCUAUUUAUGUGGCACACACUGGGGAUAUACAAAGAGCAAAAGACCCCCUGUCAAACAUGACUGCAAGUGAAGACACGUCUAAACACGCACAACUUCAUAUGAAAGAUUAAAGUAAGAAGAAAAUUGAUUGUAAUACCAGCUCUUGCAUUUCUCUGAAUUUUAGCAUAGCAGCUUUUCAUGUGAAUGAAUGUUCAGAAAUUUGGGUCUGAACAAAAUAAAAAUGCAUCCAUAAAUUUUUAAAAGACAAAUUUUAAAAUCUCAUUUAAUACAAAAGAAAACCAGAUUUAUUUCUAGAAUGUCUUUCUAGAUAGUACACAUUUAUGCCCGGUAAGGUGCUAGGAGAUACUGAUAUACAUAAAUUAGAAGACACGAUCAUGGCUCUCAGGAAAUUUAUAAUCCCUCAAGAAACACACAAAUAAACUAUGAUAAAAGUAGAAUAGAGAAGUUGAAAAGUGACAGGUGAACCUGGGUGCUAGAUGUUGUAUCAGCUUCACAGAGGAGGUCUGUAGAGGAGGUGACAUUUGAGUUAGUUCUUGCGGGAUGAAGAGGAUUUUGUAAGGAAUGAAGAAAAGAGAUUAGACACAAGGGGAACAGUGGGUGCAAAGAAAAAGACAAGAAUGUGCAUGCCUGUUUGCAGAAUGUAAGUGAUGAUGGAAGCAUCAUGUUUAUUUGAGGAAAAAUGACAGAGUGUAAGGGUGAAAAGGUGGGUAAGAGCCCAAUUGUGAAUGAUGCUUGGAUUUUCUUCCUUUAGACAUGCAUGACCAUCACAGGCUGUUAAUCAGGAGAGUGAUGAUGAUGGGAUAUCUUGAUUUAGAAACCUAAACGAGGAGAUCAGGCAAGAGGCUUUCUACAUUGGCCCAGGUAAGAUGAUCUUUUAUGUAUCUUACACCAAUUCUGUUCUCUUUUUUCUAAGAAUUAUACUGAAAUAAAAUAUAUUUGUUUUGAAGAGACUCAAUCUAUUUUCCACACAAAUAAUUCAGCUUGUUCCAAUGAGUGAAGUCUUAAGAUGUAGCAGAAGGGAUGGAAAAGGACUGCCCUCACUUUGGAUUUCUGGUUCUCAUCUUUUUAAUAUAUGGAAUGUUAUUGAGAUGCAAGUAAGGGACGAAGAGGGAAGAAACCGUAUGUGUCAGACUUUGCCUGUUCCUCCAAGAAGACAGAUUUUUUUUUCCUUAGGCUCUUCAGAUCAAAUUAAGCAGUAAAAAUAUUCUAAUUGAUUUGGGCCAGACUAAAGAUGGAUCCUUAUCUUGGUACAAUUACAUGGUGCAAUCUUUGCUUCCAAUUAUACCAUUUCUCCUUCCGAGAGGAAGAGACUGAGCAUGCGAACAGAUUCUCAGGCUCCAAAAGAAGCGUGGCUGUUGUUAUUAAAGGGGAGUUAGAGACAUGCUGUCAUAAAUGAAUGUGAUGCUCAGUGCUUUUAGAGACACCCACAUUUCUGCCCGUGAGGAAUGGAAGGGAAGACAGAGGGACCGAUAGACCAACUGAUGGGGAAAAUUUUUUGUUGCAAAAUAUAAGACUAUGAUGAUGGCUGCUUUUUGGGAUAUAGACUUCUACUCAGGUUUCUGGUGGAAUUGAAGACAUGGGUUGACAGUGGUGAGAGUGGAGAGAAUUGUUCUAAUAGGGCCUAUGUCAUUGGAAGAGCCCACUGCUUUCAGGAAGCUUGGUUUUGUUUAAAGGUGCGCAAAGCAAGACAUGGCAGUCCCCUUUCUCCCUUUCCCCACGUCUCCUUAACCCCAAUCACUUAGGAUAGUUUUUUCUCUGUGCACCCAGAAAUGAGAAGCACAGUCCGUAGUUUUCAGUAUUGCAGUAAUGAAUUUUUAAUUUUUGGACCUGCUUUUGAAUAAGUUGUAAGAAAAACAAAGUUGUAAGGCUUUUUUUUUUUAAGUCAUUUUUCUCCCUUUCAAAUUCUCUCUAGAAUCUUUUUAUCUGAGCUCCCUGGGGAGGCGUCUUGACACUGUGGGAAACACUCCAAUUUCUCUUAUGUGGUGGGAGGGGAGGACACUCAAUUGUCAGUUUAAAAAAUAAUGAUCUGCAGCAGAUUAAAGAACUGAGAGAGCCUUACACGUUUGAGUUUUUUAAGUGGGUAAUUCCUUUAACUGGGUAAUUCUUCUAAGCGGGUAAUUCCUUUAAGCAGGACCCUUCACAGCCCUGUAAAACUGAAGACCAUCUAGGAACUCUUGAACUGUUUCAAAUUGUUUUCAAAUGGGUCUGAAUGCUGUUGAGAAAUGCAUAAUUUACGACCUUAACACUUGAUUAGAUGUUAAACGACUGUCAGGAGAGAUGUCCUUGGUAAUCCAGUUAUCAUCUAGACUCUAAUUAUCACUUCACAGGAGAAGUAAGGCUGGGUAAUUGAGAACCAAAAUUCUUAAAGGGCUUGAAGUGGCCAUUUUCUUAUGCAGUUAAGUAAAUUAUUUCUCUACCUGGAAGGUGUCUAAUUGGUACCAAUUGAUGAGAAGGAAGAAAUGGUGUUAAGACUUUCAGGAGUGAUUUAGUCAGGGGGCUCUAGCCAAGGCAACAGAAAGUUAUACUGAGUACAAAGAGAUGUUUCCCAGUUUAAAUUUUCACUUUAUUUAAAAUAUGUGUUAAAGGAGGGAAGAAGGAGAAACUAGGAGACAGCCAAGAGAAGACAGAAUAUAAUUAAGAGCUGAUGACCAUACCUCUCCCGUGUCUCUCAUUACUAAGGAUUUUCCUCAGGUGAGACCCCAUUUCACCUGGUGUUAGCUCCCAUCCAUCACUGUAAAUUAUUUAAACCACAAAUGCUGCACCAACCAUUAAACCAAGGAUGGGAAUAAUGGGGAAAAUCUGCCUGAAAGAAGGGCCACUCUUACUGAAUUCAGUAGGACAUAAAGAGAGGUAACGGGUAAAGAGAUAGCACUCUGAAUCUUUUUAUUUGACUAGCUUUCUUCUCCUCUCCACCCCGACUCUUCUAUGGGGCACUUUUAUGUGCAUAAAUGGCCAUGGUAAGUGCUAUGAAUACAAAAAUGGGAAUGUAAGAUGUGACCCUUGUCUUCAGCAGUUUCUGCUUGACUGAUGGAUUGUGUUGGAGUUUGGAGGAGACUGGUAAUCAAUAUCUCUAUAUUCUCCUAAAGUUGGGAUGAAGUAAUAGAUAGAUGCUAGAGAAGGGGGAAAUCAUAUGGCCUAGAUUACUGAUAAACUUGAUUGGAGAAUGGGUUAGAUCUGUGGCCAAGUGGGUUUGCCUACUCACCAUUAAAAUCAUCAUUUACCUCCAGUCACUGGCACAGCUGGUCAACUGCAGGCAUUCCCCCAUGAUGUGGGAGUGGGGAGCAACCCUCCAAGGCAGAGAGCAGAGUGGAACGUUGAUCUCUGGACCAGUUGGCUCCAAACGAGCCUCUCCUAACUCUCUGAUCAGAUAAGUCAUGCCCUGUCGUGGAGAGGGGCUUGAGCGUCGUGGGACCAGAGCGUCGUUGCAGUCUCUGCAAGAAAACGUGAGGCUCCUUCCUAAGAGGGAGGCCUGGAAAUGGAUGUGAAGAGAAGAAUAAACUUGUAAGUGAUAAAUUAGGUGCUUAAUUCACUGUUUUUAUGGGCUUUCGGUCAGAAGUGCAAUUCUAUGCUACAUUCUGAAAACUGGCUACAUUCUUAAGAGCUCAGAGAACUAAAAAUGCACAGAUUCAACAUAAUCCAGAGUCACCAUUCUAUUAUACCUGGGAGGCAGAAAGUAUGUAGUCUAUUUCUGAUGGCCUGUGAGAUGGCUUAGAUCCUGCUUUCAAGAUCUGGCAGCCCAGGUAGACCAGCAGCUGAGGGGAGAGGGAUCACCACUGCAAAAGCUUCACCAUCAGAGUGACAUAGGGAAGGAGGGUUUUUAAUGGGAGGAUUCAAGCAAAAAGUAACAAGAAUGCAGCUCUCUCACGUGGAAUGAGCAGAGGCAAGAGGAGAUAAAGGAUUUGGAACUUUGAGCCUCUUUCUCCUGAUGCAUGCACUGUGCUAUUUCUUGUAUAUUUGUAUUAUUAAAAAAAAAUAAUAAGUGCUCUUUAAAA